rnacentral:rRNA from 1 species
UAGGGGAACCUGCGGAAGGAUCAUUGUCGAUGCCUUACAUGCAGAUCAACUUGUGAAUAUGUUUGAACAUGUAGAGGGAUGGCUCGCGGUGGUCAAACUCCUCGACCUCCCUUGUGCUUGGAGUGGCUGCCACGUUGUGUGCUCCCCCCCAAGCCUAACCCAAACCCCGGCGCUUAAUGCGCCAAGGAACUAAAUUUGGUUAAGUGCGCCCCUGCGGUCACUGGAGACGGUGAUCUCGCAGGAGGUGUUUUGACGCAUGAUAUAUAUAAACGACUCUCGGCAACGGAUAUCUAGGCUCUUGCAUCGAUGAAGAACGUAGCGAAAUGCGAUACUUGGUGUGAAUUGCAGAAUCCCGUGAACCAUCGAGUUUUUGAACGCAAGUUGCGCCCGAAGCCAUUAGGUUGAGGGCACGUCUGCCUGGGCGUCACAUAUCGUUGCCCUAUGCCCAAUGCCCCAUCGUUGCUGAUAGGCACUGUGCAGGGCGAAUGUUGGCUUCCCGUGAGCGUUGUUGUCUCACGGUUGGCUGAAAACUGAGUCCUUGGUAGGGUGUGUGCCAUGAUAGAUGGUGGUUGUGUCACCCACGAGACCGAUCAUGUGCGGCUCUACCAUCUCUGGACUCUUUGACCCACUUGCGUCCUUGAACGCUACUGACGAGACCUCAGGUCAGGCGGGGCUACCCGCUGAAUUUAAGCAUAUCAAUAAGGCCGGAGGAA